AUUGAACGCUGGCGGCAGGCCUAACACAUGCAAGUCGAACGAGUGGCGGACGGGUGAGUAAUGUCUGGGAAACUGCCUGAUGGAGGGGGAUAACUACUGGAAACGGUAGCUAAUACCGCAUACCAUCGGAUGUGCCCAGAUGGGAUUAGCUAGUAGGUGGGGUAACGGCUCACCUAGGCGACGAUCCCUAGCUGGUCUGAGAGGAUGACCGGCCAGUGUGGAACGGAGAAACGGUCCAGACUACUACGGGAGGCAGCAGGGGGGAAUAUUGCACAAUGGGCGAAAGCCUGAGGCAGCCAUGCCGCGUGUAUGAAGAGGGCCUUCGGGUUGUAAAGUACUUUAAGCGGGGAGGCGUUACCCGCAGAAUAAGCACCGGCUAACUUCGUGCCAGCAGCCGCGGUAAUUC
rnacentral:rRNA from 1 species